GUGGGGAAUUUUGGACAAUGGGCGCAAGCCUGAUCCAGCAAUGCCGCGUGCAGGAAGAAGGCCUUCGGGUUGUAAACUGCUUUUGUACGGAACGAAACGGUCCGGGUUAAUACCCUGGGCUAAUGACGGUACCGUAAGAAUAAGCACCGGCUAACUACGUGCCAGCAGCCGCGGUAAUACGUAGGGUGCAAGCGUUAAUCGGAAUUACUGGGCGUAAAGCGUGCGCAGACGGUUUUGUAAGACAGGCGUGAAAUCCCCGGGCUCAACCUGGGAAUUGCGCUUGUGACUGCAAGGCUGGAGUGCGGCAGAGGGGGAUGGAAUUCCGCGUGUAGCAGUGAAAUGCGUAGAUAUGCGGAGGAACACCGAUGGCGAAGGCAAUCCCCUGGGCCUGCACUGACGCUCAUGCACGAAAGCGUGGGGAGCAAACAGGAUUAGAUACCCGGGUAGUCC
rnacentral:rRNA from 1 species